rnacentral:rRNA from 1 species
CGUAGGGUGCAAGCGUUAAUCGGAAUUACUGGGGCGUAAAGCGUGCGCAGGGCGGUUGUGUAAGACAGGUGUGAGAAUCCCCGGGCUUAACCUGGGAAUGGCAUUUUGAGACUGCACGGCUAGAGUGUGUCAGAGGGGGGUAGAAUUCCACGUGUAGCAGUGAAAUGCGUAGAGAUGUGGAGGAAUACCGAUGGCGAAGGCAGCCCCCUGGGAUAACACUGACGCUCAUGCACGAAAGCGUGGGGAGCAAACAGGAUUAGAUACCCUGGUAGUCCACGCCCUAAACGAUGUCUACUAGUUGUCGGGUCUUAAUUGACUUGGUAACGCAGCUAACGCGUGAAGUAGACCGCCUGGGGAGUACGGUCGCAAGAUUAAAACUCAAAGGAAUUGACGGGGACCCGCACAAGCGGUGGAUGAUGUGGAUUAAUUCGAUGCAACGCGAAAAACCUUACCUACCCUUGACAUGGCUGGAAUCCUUCAGAGAUGAGGGAGUGCUCGAAAGAGAACCAGUACACAGGUGCUGCAUGGCUGUCGUCAGCUCGUG